GGUUUUAUAGUGUAUAUUUAGCACCUUAGAUUGCAAAUCUAAAAGAGGACUAACAUUGAUCCUAAAACUU
rnacentral:tRNA from 1 species